CCAUCGGCCCUUUUCAUGGCCAUCAAAUUUGUUGAAAAGAGUUAAA
rfam:Aedes aegypti strain Liverpool supercont1.1223 genomic scaffold, whole genome shotgun sequence.